rnacentral:rRNA from 1 species
AUCCUGGCUCAGAACGAACGCUGGCGGCAGGCUUAACACAUGCAAGUCGAACGAGAUCUUCGGAUCUAGUGGCGGACGGGUGAGUAACGCGUGGGAACGUACCCUUCACUACGGAAUAAUCACUGGAAACGGUGACUAAUACCGUAUACGCCCUUCGGGGGAAAGAAUUUCGGUGAAGGAUCGGCCCGCGUUGGAUUAGGUAGUUGGUGGGGUAAUGGCCUACCAAGCCGACGAUCCAUAGCUGGUUUUAGAGGAUGAUCAGCCACACUGGGACUGAGACACGGCCCAGACUCCUACGGGAGGCAGCAGUGGGGAAUCUUAGACAAUGGGGGAAACCCUGAUCUAGCCAUGCCGCGUGAGUGACGAAGGCCCUAGGGUCGUAAAGCUCUUUCAACGGUGAAGAUAAUGACGGUAGCCGUAGAAGAAACCCCGGCUAACUCCGUGCCAGCAGCCGCGGUAAUACGGAGGGGGUUAGCGUUGUUCGGAAUUACUGGGCGUAAAGCGCGCGUAGGCGGAUUGGAAAGUUGGGGGUGAAAUCCCGGGGCUCAACCCCGGAACUGCCUCCAAAACUAUCAGUCUAGAGUUCGAGAGAGGUGAGUGGAAUUCCGAGUGUAGAGGUGAAAUUCGUAGAUAUUCGGAGGAACACCAGUGGCGAAGGCGGCUCACUGGGCUCGAUACUGACGCUGAGGUGCACGAAAGUGUGGGGAGCAAACAUGGCAAUUAGAUACCCUGGUAGUCCACGCCGUAAACGAUGUCAAUGCUAGUUGUCGGGUAGCAUUCAUAUUCCUUGGUGACGCAGCUAACGCGAUGAAGCUUGACCGCCUGGGGAGUACGGCCGCAAGGUUAAAACUCAAAGGAAUUGACGGGGACCCGCACAAGCGGUGGAUGAUGUGGAUUAAUUCGAUGCAACGCGAAAAACCUUACCUACGCUUGACAUGCCAGGAACUUUCCAGAGAUGGAUUGGUGCCCGAAAGGGAACCUGGACACAGGUGCUGCAUGGCUGUCGUCAGCUCGUGUCGUGAGAUGUUGGGUUAAGUCCCGCAACGAGCGCAACCCUUUUCCUUAGUUGCUACGCAAGGGCACUCUAGGGAUACUGCCGGUGACAAACCGGAGGAAGGUGGGGAUGACGUCAAGUCCUCAUGGCCCUUAUGUGUAGGGCUUCACACGUCAUACAAUGGUCGGUACAGAGGGUCGCCAACCCGCGAGGGGGAGCCAAUCCCAGAAAACCGAUCGUAGUCCGGAUCGCACUCUGCAACUCGAGUGCGUGAAGUCGGAAUCGCUAGUAAUCGCGGAUCAGCAUGUCGCGGUGAAUACGUUCCCGGGUCUUGUACACACCGCCCGUCGCACCAUGGGAGUGGGUUUUGCCAGAAGUGGGUAGCCUAACCCGCAAGGAGGGCGCUUACCACGGCAGGGCUCAUGACUGGGGGUGAAGUCGUAACAAGGUAACCAAUCACUAGAG